rnacentral:rRNA from 1 species
GACGAACGCUGGCGGCGUGCUUAACACAUGCAAGUCGAGCGAGGCCCUCCUUCGGGAGGUGUCCUAGCGGCGAACGGGUGAGUAACACGUGGGCAACCUGCCCUCAGCUCUGGGAUAACUCCAAGAAAUUGGGGCUAAUACCGGAUAUGACCGCUGACCGCAUGGGCUGGUGGUGGAAAGAUUUAUCGGCUGGGGAUGGGCCCGCGGCCUAUCAGCUUGUUGGUGGGGUAGUGGCCUACCAAGGCGACGACGGGUAGCCGGCCUGAGAGGGUGACCGGCCACACUGGGACUGAGACACGGCCCAGACUCCUACGGGAGGCAGCAGUGGGGAAUAUUGCGCAAUGGGCGGAAGCCUGACGCAGCGACGCCGCGUGGGGGAUGACGGCCUUCGGGUUGUAAACCUCUUUCAGCAGGGACGAAGCGCGAGUGACGGUACCUGCAGAAGAAGCACCGGCCAACUACGUGCCAGCCGCCGCGGUAACAC